rnacentral:rRNA from 1 species
AUUGAACGCUGGCGGCAGGCCUAACACAUGCAAGUCGAACGGUAACAGGAAACAGCUUGCUGUUUCGCUGACGAGUGGCGGACGGGUGAGUAAUGUCUGGGAAACUGCCUGAUGGAGGGGGAUAACUACUGGAAACGGUAGCUAAUACCGCAUAACGUCGCAAGACCAAAGAGGGGGACCUUCGGGCCUCUUGCCAUCGGAUGUGCCCAGAUGGGAUUAGCUAGUAGGUGGGGUAACGGCUUACCUAGGCGACGAUCCCUAGCUGGGCUGAGAGGAUGACCAGGCACACUGGAACGGAGACACGGUCCAGACUCCUACGGGGGGCAGCAGUGGGGAAUAUUGCACAAUGGGCGCAAGCCUGAUGCAGCCAUGCCGCGUGUAUGAAGAAGGCCUUCGGGUUGUAAAGUACUUUCAGCGGGGAGGAAGGGAGUAAAGUUAAUACCUUUGCUCAUUGACGUUACCCGCAGAAGAAGCACCGGCUAACUCCGUGCCAGCAGCCGCGGUAA